rnacentral:rRNA from 1 species
CUAUUAUUUUGAUUUAUAAAAAUUGGUAAUACCUAAGUAUUAUGAAAAUAUUAUUAUUAUUAUAUUAAUAUUAUAUUAUUUAAAACUUAAAAGGUUUGGCGGUUUUACAUAUCCAGUUAGGGGAGUUUGUUAAUUGAUUUGAUGAUCCUCGUUUUAAACUUACUUUUUUUUGAUAUAUUUAUAUAUACAGUUUGUAUAUUGCUGUCGUUAGUUUAUGUUUUGAGAAUUAUUAAAAGACUAGGAAAUGUAUUGAUUUUUAUGUUAAGUCAUAAUGCAGCUAAUAAAAAAGGUUUAAUGAACUACUUUAAUAAAUUUUGUUAAAUAUCCGGAUAUUAGAAAUUAUAUUUUAUUAGAAAGGUGGACUUAAUAGUAAAUAAUAAUUAGUGUGUAUUAUUGAAUUUGGUUUUGUAGAGUGU